rnacentral:rRNA from 1 species
UACGGAGGGUGCAAGCGUUAUCCGGAUUCACUGGGUUUAAAGGGUGCGUAGGUGGGCAGGUAAGUCAGUGGUGAAAUCUCCGAGCUUAACUCGGAAACUGCCAUUGAUACUAUCUGUCUUGAAUAUCCUGGAGGUGAGCGGAAUAUGUCAUGUAGCGGUGAAAUGCUUAGAUAUGACAUAGAACACCAAUUGCGAAGGCAGCUCACUACGGGAUUAUUGACACUGAGGCACGAAAGCGUGGGGAUCAAACAG